UACGUAUGGUGCAAGCGUUGUUCGGAAUCAUUGGGCGUAAAGGGUAUGUAGGCGGAUACAUAAGUCAGAUGUGAAAACUAUGGGCUCAACCCAUAGCCUGCAUUUGAAACUGUGUAUCUGGAAUCUUGGAGAGGCAAGUGGAAUUCCUGGUGUAGCGGUGAAAUGCGUAGAUAUCAGGAGGAACACCGGUGGCGAAGGCGACUUGCUGGCCACAGAUUGACGCUGAGAUACGAAAGCGUGGGUAGUGAACGGG
rnacentral:rRNA from 1 species